rnacentral:rRNA from 1 species
UACGGGGGGGGGCAAGCGUUGUUCGGAAUUACUGGGCGUAAAGGGCUCGUAGGCGGCCAACUAAGUCAGACGUGAAAUCCCUCGGCUUAACCGGGGAACUGCAUCUGAUACUGGAUGGCUUGAGUUCGGGAGAGGGAUGCGGAAUUCCAGGUGUAGCGGUGAAAUGCGUAGAUAUCUGGAGGAACACCAAUGGCGAAGGCAGCCUUCUGGGCCAACACUGACGCUCAUGCACGAAAGCGUGGGGAGCAAACAGG